rnacentral:misc_RNA from 1 species
CCACUUAAGGAAGGAGGGAGGGAGGGAGGGUCGUGGGCCGAGCAGACGCGAGGAGUGAGCAAGGAAAUCGCAGGAAGACACACACAGAGAGAGGGAGAGAGAUGGGGGGAGAGACGAGCGGUAAACCACAAUUCUUGGCCGUGUCCCGUCGCUACUGACUUCUCUUCUCGCCUUUGCUAGCCAUGCCGACUCUUCUUGCUGUUG